rnacentral:misc_RNA from 1 species
GAUGAAGAACGCAGCGAAAUGCGAUAAGUAAUGUGAAUUGCAGAAUUCAGUGAAUCAUCGAAUCUUUGAACGCACCUUGCGCUCCUUGGUAUUCCGAGGAGCAUGCCUGUUUGAGUGUCAUUAAAUUCUCAACUAUACACGUUUUGUAGACAUGUAUAGCUUGGAUCUUGGGAUCUGCGGGCUUUCACAAGUCGGCUAUCCUUAAAUGCAUUAGCAGAGCUUUUGCCGCUAACCUCUGGUGUGAUAAUUAUCUACGCCAUGGAGUUGCAGCAUAUUGAGGCUUAGCUUCUAGCCGUCCUAUAGGACAACAUUUGACAAUCUGCCCUCAAAUCAGGUAGGACUACCCGCUGAACUUAAGCAUAUCAAUAAGCGGAGGAA